rnacentral:rRNA from 1 species
AGCGGCAGCGCGGGGGCAACCCUGGCGGCGAGCGGCGAACGGGUGAGGAAACCAUCGGAACGUGCCCGAGAGUGGGGGAUAACGCCGCGAAAGCGGCGCUAAUACCGCAUAUUCUCUGAGGAGGAAAGUGGGGGACCUGCAAGGGCCUCACGCUCACGGAGCGGCCGAUGUCGGAUUAGCUAGUUGGUGGGGUAAAGGCUUACCAAGGCGACGAUCCGUAGCUGGUCUGAGAGGAUGAUCAGCCACACUGGGACUGAGACACGGCCCAGACUCCUACGGGAGGCAGCAGUGGGGAAUUUUGGACAAUGGGGGCAACCCUGAUCCAGCCAUGCCGCGUGCGGGAAGAAGGCCUUCGGGUUGUAAACCGCUUUUAGCCGGGAAGAAAAGGCAAGGGACAAUACCCCUUGUUCUUGACGGUACCGGCGGAAUAAGCACCGGCUAACUACGUGCCAGCAGCCGCGGUAAUACGUAGGGUGCGAGCGUUAAUCGGAAUUACUGGGCGUAAAGCGUGCGCAGGCGGUUCGUUAAGUCAGAUGUGAAAGCCCCGGGCUCAACCUGGGAACUGCAUUUGAAACUGGCGGGCUUGAGUAUGGCAGAGGGGGGUGGAAUUCCGCGUGUAGCAGUGAAAUGCGUAGAGAUGCGGAGGAACACCGAUGGCGAAGGCAGCCCCUGGCCAAUACUGACGCUCAGGCACGAAAGCGUGGGGAGCAAACAGGAUUAGAUACCC